rnacentral:rRNA from 1 species
GAUUGAACGCUGGCGGCAGGCCUAACACAUGCAAGUCGAGCGGUAGAGAGGUGCUUGCAUCUCUUGAGAGCGGCGGACGGGUGAGUAAUGCCUAGGAAUCUGCCUAGUGGUGGGGGAUAACGUUCGGAAACGGACGCUAAUACCGCAUACGUCCUACGGGAGAAAGCGGGGGACCUUCGGGCCUCGCGCCAUUAGAUGAGUCUAGGUCGGAUUAGCUAGUUGGUGAGGUAAUGGCUCACCAAGGCGACGAUCCUUAGCUGGUCUGAGAGGAUGAUCAGCCACACUGGGACUGAGACACGGCCCAGACUCCUACGGGAGCAGCAG